AGUGAACGCUGGCGGUAUGCCUAACACAUGCAAGUCGAACGACAGCACAGUGAGAUUGUGCUCUUACCGGUGGCGAGGGGCGGAGGGGUGAGGAAUGGAUCGGAGUCUUAUUUUUCUUGGGGGAUAACGGGGGGCAACUGACGCUAAUGCAGCAUAUGACCUACGGGUUGAAUCAGUGGUGCUUGGCAGCUUGCGCGACUGAAUUAGCCGAUGUCGGAUUAGCUUGUUUGCAGGGUAAGGGCCCAGCAAGGCGACGGUCCGAAGCUGAUCUGAGAGGGUGGUCGGCCGCCCUGGAACUGAGACACGGUCCAGACUCCUACGGGAGGCAGCAGUGGGGAAUAUUAGGCAAUGGGGGGAAGCCUGAUCCAGCCAUACCGAGUGGGUUAAGAAGGCCUUCGGAUUGUAAAGACCUUUUGUUGGGAGAGAAAAGCAGCAGGUUAAUACACCGCUGUCCUGACGGUACCCAAAAAAUAAGCCCCGGCUAACUUCGUG
rnacentral:rRNA from 1 species